rnacentral:tRNA from 1 species
GCUUCCGUAGCUCAAUUGGUUAAGAGCACUGCACGAAAUGCGAGGGUGCGGGUUCAAGUCCCGCCGGAAGCG